rnacentral:lncRNA from 1 species
GCGCUCCAUCUUCGCUUGUUAUCACUAGUGGGAAUGAAAAAUGUCUACAAGGCUGCAGAGUGAGGACGCAGCCUGGCACCUGCCUCAUGCACAGCUCUUGCUUUUUUUUGGAGCACACGGUCUGAAGUGGAAAAAUAGGGAGAAGCUGCCAGCCUGGCCCCCCCUGCACCCCACACGUCCCCCUGCCAUCAGCAGCACAGCCUCGGCCUCGGACCCGCUCUGCACCAGGAGAGCUCCCAGCCUUGCAGCCCCAGCACUGGGCUCCAUUGCCACGUCCCCAUGGCUGCUCCAGGGCACAGGGUCUGGAUGGAGCCUGACCUACAGGAAGCAGCAGAGCCCCGCGCCAGCUCUGCCUGCUGCCUCAGCCCUGCCCCUGCCCCUGGCAGCAUGCAGAGAGCGCCAGGUCCGGUUCAUCUCCAAAGAUCUUUACCAGUGGAGAGAGCUUGCAAUGUGUGAAAAUAAGUGAAAGAAUGAAGAAAUGCACAGAGGAAGGCUUUCGAUCUGAUAAAUCUGUUCCUAAAACACUAUUAAAUGUUUCUCCUUUGAAAUAAUCAUAUCCACACUGGAGACAGGACCAGUGAGCAGGACCCAGGAUCUAGCAAGUGGCUGGGUAGGACUGAUAUCCUUCGGUCUUCUGGAAACAGGGUAGCGCCUAUUUAAAAGAGCUGUGAAUGGAAACAAAAACAUUUUAGCAUUGUAGCUAAACAUUUGUACAUUGUAGCUCAACGUUGUAGCAAACAUUUGUAGGGACAAACCCGUACAGCAUGUUAGCUAUAGCACAAACUCCUGAAGGUGCUCAGAGGUUGCUGAGAGAGCAGAAGAGCGUCCUGUGACCCCUGUGCCGGACCAGCCAGCCUGGAGCCUCUUUCAUGCUUGGGAUGCUCCUCAUGUAACUUCAAUCUGCCCAGGUAACUUGUGCCUGCACAUGGCAUUGUACACACGGGUACGUAUUUAGUUUGCACGACGUUGUGACAGGUGGGAAAUCUGCGUGUCCAUUGGCAUUCAUUGAAACAGGAGCAUUCUCAAGCUAGUCCAAAAUUGCAUUUGCAUUUGCGUGUGGAGGCUUUUCCUAAAUACCGUCUUCAUUUUUCACUUGAUCAAAUGGUUGAACUCCUUGCAACGUGGAGUGAAGCUGAGUGCAAACUCCAGGCAGGUGCGGUACUUCCUGAGAUGGGACACUUCACCUGGACAGUACAGAGGAUUGACUCGGACCUAGAAUGGCUUGUUUAAAAUGUGUAUAAACUUACUUCAGCAGAC